GAGAGAGCAGAGAGCGGUAGAGAGCAGCAACAGCAACACUGAGAAAUUGUGAGUCCUAUGGAUAAGUGGACUGCUAAAAGAUAGUGGAUAAUGGACAAAGUGAGACGAAAGACAGUUCUCCACAGGUCUAUCACAUUUUUAUCUAUCCAUCCAUCCUGGAGAGGGAGAAGGAGAGAACGGAGGACUUGAACAGGCUGACUGGGAUGGGACUCUGACAGUACUCAGUUACCUGGAUACGGCUUCCUGGACUCAAAGAAAAAUGGGGGUGUAGCAGGGAAGAGCUCAAACCAAAACCCAGUGAUUUACAUGGACUUGUUCAGCCUGGGUGUAACGAUGAAACGAUCACCCCUCUAUCCCCACAGACACAUGGAAUAGUGAGGGUGCAGAAUUCACCGCAACACCUCUUACCACAAACCACUCCUGAGUGUGCCAUUGGACCAGCUUGGACGGACCAGACAGAACAGGGCAGAACAACUCCCAACCACUCCAGAAUUCUCUCCAACAGGACAUCGUAAUCAAUCGAAAGAAUGUUCUCCCUUGGCCAAGUUUUGAGUGAUACCCAGAAACCUUGCCCUGAUUUAAAUUAAAUACUCCUAAGAACCACUUACAAACAGAUGGGUAAUAAGAUAUGAGUUUAUUUGUGAAUGAAUAUGGAAUGUUAAGCGUUUGGCUGCCAAGAAUUCAUUGUUUCAGCCUCAUAAAUUGCUUCAGUGCCCUUAUCGGUUGGUUGAGAGGCUGGGUUUUAUAAUGAGAAAUCCCUGGGAAACAUGAGAACUGAGAGAGACUCAAGGACUCUGAUUUAGUUCAGAUUAACCCCAUCUAUGGACCCUGAGAUAAGAGAAUAACAUGUUACACAUUCUCUUCAGAGCCGCACCUACAGUAUACAAAGAAUGAGGAUCUCUCCUGCUGCUCCUUCCUCACUCCUUUUUGACCCAUUUAUUUAAAGGAGUUUAACAGAGACCCAUGGUACUUUACACUAAAGCAACACAUUGGCGAUAACGAAGAGCCAGCUAAGCGCAUUGAGAAGUGUACUAUAUUCUAUAAUGUGACAUAGAGACUCAUAGAUUUAGCCGGUGGUAACUUGUGGGAAUAGACACCGGUUGGAAUGUGGUUUUAACCAAUCAGCAUUCAGGAUUAGAC
rnacentral:lncRNA from 1 species